rnacentral:RNase_P_RNA from 1 species
UUCGCUCAUGAGAUGAUCGCGGAUAUGUCUUUAUCACUGUGCAUGUGCAUAGCUAAGGCUACCAUAAACACAUGAUCAAAACAUAGACGAGGAACGUCCGGGCAUCACGGAGAAAUGGAGGUGGGUAACACCCACCCAGGGUAACCUGAGGGAAAGCGCAACAGAGAAGAAAGCACCACACGGUGUAGACCGCCUUUGUGCAUGCCAUAAAGGUAAGGGUGAAACGGCAGUGUAAGAGACUACCGCAUUUAUGGUGACAUAAAUGGCUAGGCAAGCCCCUCCAGAUGCAAGGUCAAGUAGGUGUGUAGGCCUCUCCACCAAUACACAUGGGUAGACCGCUCGAGCUAUAUGGCAACAUAUGGCCUAGAUGGAUGAUCAUCACUUCCUUAGAGAAGAACAGAACCCGGCGUAUGAUUGAGCGAAUGCA